CUACAACAUAGCACUAAUGCAUUGGACCCCAUUAGAAAUUCAAAGUUAAAGGCGCUCAAGCUAGAGUAGUAAUGUGAUGGGUGAAUGCUUGGUUAGUCCUAGUGUUUUGUUGA
rfam:Picea glauca, whole genome shotgun sequence.